CCCCCCGCCCCUCCCCUCCCGGGUCGGGUUUCCCGCACACGUGACCCAGCCGGCCCAGGACGCCGCCCCGGCGCCCCCUGCACCCCACCCAACCCCGGUGUCCACGAAGACUGGCCGGGCGCCGUCGGGGCGCUUCCCACGCGGUAGCGACAGACACCGGCCCACUUGCGGGGGGCAUCCGGGAAUCAGCAUGCAGGUGUCACUGUGUCCCCAGGAGCGUCACGGAGGAGACACAGCUACAGGAACACAAACGGCGUGAUUGAGCACUACGGAGAAGUUUGGAAAAUGUGUUACAGUAAAACACGCUGCUGUGAAUCGCUUCAGUCUUCCCCUCUCUUCCCACCGUCCCGGCCACUUCCUGCAGCAGCUCUAGAGUCCUCCUUCCUGAGGGUCUUCGCCUGUGCUGACCUGGCAGCCUCCAUGCCCUGAGUUGAUAAGGCACUGACCUUUCAAGGUCGUUGUGACCUUCGGGGAGAGCUGGAAGUCACGGGGCCUCAAAUCAGGGGAUGAAGGUGGAUGAGGACACAGCAUCAGGGCUGGGCAGCACUCAGCAGCAGCUGUCAUCGUAUUUUGAUCACAUCUCAUAAAGACGCUCAGGAG
rnacentral:lncRNA from 1 species